rnacentral:rRNA from 1 species
UACGUAGGGGGCAAGCGUUGUCCGGAUUUAUUGGGCGUAAAGAGCGUGUAGGCGGCUUGGUAGGUCCGCUGUGAAAACUCGAGGCUCAACCUCGAGAUGUCGGCGGAAACCAUCUGGCUAGAGUCCGGAAGAGGAGAGUGGAAUUCCUGGUGUAGCGGUGAAAUGCGCAGAUAUCAGGAAGAACACCCCGUGGCGAAGGCGGCUCUCUGGGACGGUACUGACGCU